AAUCCAUGGCGUGGGCAUUGUAAUAAAAGUGAUUUGAAGCGAUCUCAUGCUUCAUGAAAAGAUUCAGCAUUCUUUUGAUAAAAAUUAGAAAUUUCAGCUCUUAAUUCU
rfam:Ricinus communis cultivar Hale ctg_1100012314118, whole genome shotgun sequence.